CUUGAUCGACCCCAGCAGCAACGGCCGCUCACGGUCCUGCCCAUAGGUCGCCAGCAGCGCCUGCGCCUC
rnacentral:antisense_RNA from 1 species